rnacentral:rRNA from 1 species
UCGGGAAUUUUGGGCAAUGGGCGAAAGCCUGACCCAGCAACGCCGCGUGAAGGAUGAAGUAUUUCGGUAUGUAAACUUCGAAAGAAUAGGAAGAAUAAAUGACGGUACUAUUUAUAAGGUCCGGCUAACUACGUGCCAGCAGCCGCGGUAAUACGUAGGGACCAAGCGUUGUUCGGAUUUACUGGGCGUAAAGGGCGCGUAGGCGGCAAUUCAAGUCAUCUGUGAAAUCUCCGGGCUUAACUCGGAACGGUCAGAUGAUACUGCUUUGCUAGAGUGCAGAAGGGGCAAUCGGAAUUCUUGGUGUAGCGGUGAAAUGCGUAGAUAUCAAGAGGAACACCUGAGGUGAAGACGGGUUGCUGGGCUGACACUGACGCUGAGGCGCGAAAGCCAGGGGAGCAAACGGGAUUAGAGACCCUUGUAGUCCCUGAGCGGGCUGGCAAGGCGCAU